rnacentral:tRNA from 1 species
UUUGAGGGAGACCCAAAUCAAAGUAAAAAGUAGAARGUAAAAAGUAAAAAGAAAGAAUGAAGAAAAUCUUUUGACUUUUAAGUUUAAACUUUUGCCUUGAAUCAUCCCGAGGUCGGUCGUAGGGUAGUAAUAUAAGCUUUCAAACUAUAGAAUGGUUCGGAAUAUGGGCUAUUAGCUCAGGUGGUUAGAGCGCACCCCUGAUAAGGGUGAGGUCCCUGGUUCGAGUCCAGGAUGGCCCACCUGAAGCAAGUAAAAAGAGCAAAGUCAAAAGUCAAAAGAAAAAACCAGAUUUUUCAUUUGCCUUUGAACUUUUAACUUUUGCCUUGUGUUGGGGGGGUUUAGCUYAGUCGGUAGAGCGCCUGCUUUGCAAGCAGGAUGUCAGGAGUUCGAGUCUCCUAACCUCCACCUGUAAAAUGUCAAAACGGAUCUAAAAAGUUUAGCACCUGAAUCAAAAGAGUCAGUCUGCUGGAUUUGUAUCCAGUCAGAACCUUGAAAACUGCAUAGAGAAGCGAAUUGUAGGUAGUAAGUAGUUUUUAAUAGUUAAUUGGUAAAUGAAAGACCAACGAGCAAUUAAAAAYUACUAGUACAAACAGCAAUGAAUAUGUGAAAAGU